CCUACGGGUGGCAGCAGUGGGGAAUAUUGCACAAUGGGGGAAACCCUGAUGCAGCAACGCCGCGUGAAGGAAGACGGUUUUCGGAUUGUAAACUUCUGUUCUUAGUGAAGAAUAAUGACGGUAGCUAAGGAGCAAGCCACGGCUAACUACGUGCCAGCAGCCGCGGUAAUACGUAGGUGGCAAGCGUUGUCCGGAAUUACUGGGUGUAAAGGGUGCGCAGGCGGGAAGCCAAGUCAGCUGUGAAAACUACGGGCUUAACUUGUAGACUGCAGUUGAAACUGGGGAGCUUGAGUGGGCGAGAAGUAUGCGGAAUGCGUGGUGUAGCGGUGAAAUGCAUAGAUAUCACGCAGAACUCCGAUUGCGAAGGCAGUAUACCGGCGCCCGACUGACGCUGAGGCACGAAAGCGUGGGGAGCGAACAGGAUUAGAUACCCGGGUAGUC
rnacentral:rRNA from 1 species